rnacentral:rRNA from 1 species
UACGGAGGGGGCUAGCGUUGCUCGGAAUCACUGGGCGUAAAGCGCACGUAGGCGGAUCUUUAAGUCAGGGGUGAAAUCCCAAGGCUCAACCUUGGAACUGCCUUUGAUACUGGGGAUCUCGAGUCCGGAAGAGGUUGGUGGAACUGCGAGUGUAGAGGUGAAAUUCGUAGAUAUUCGCAAGAACACCAGUGGCGAAGGCGGCCAACUGGUCCGGUACUGACGCUGAGGUGCGAAAGCGUGGGGGAGCAAACAGG